rnacentral:pre_miRNA from 14 species
UUUUACAGAUGGCUGCUAACUGAAAGAUCCCACGCAGAGAGACCCUUACUCAAGUCUUGGGAAAUCGCGGACCCCAGACACAGAGAGACCA